UCUUCCAUAAAAAACAAAAAAAUCUCUUUGUACCUCUCUCUCACGUUUUCCCUAACGUCUCCCUCAUUUCACUCUCCACUGUCUCUCCACUCACCUACCACUAUCACUCACCCACUAAAAUUUCCACUCACCUCUCCCUCCUCAGAUAAACGACAAAAAAAAGAAAAAAUAAAAUCCCUCCUAUCCUCUCUCACUGCUAUUCACUCUCUCACUCACGCUCCAUUCCCUCUCCCUCUCACUCAUAAAUAACACUUACUAUUCACUCCCUCUCUCGCCUCCACGGAAAAACCACACACAUCACCCUUUCGCUCACUCACAUCUCCUUCACCACCAUCAAAUUUCUUCACCGAAAUCACAACCCAAAAUUCCUUCCACCACCUCAAAAACAAUCGCCGAUAGUCACCGUCAACACCAUUGACCACCAAAUCUCACCGUCAAUCAUCUUCAAACCGCUUCAAACCCUCAGCCGCCGCGAAUCUACCGGCGAAUCCACCGUCCACCGCCGAUUCCAUCUCUUCAUCUCACAAAAACCCUCCGCCUCCACUAAGUUCUUCAAUCACUACAAGAAACCCUCAUAUCAUCACCGUACCGAAGCCGUCGGUGACUCUUUGAAGCUUUAGAGCCAUAGGUAUGUCAAGCAGAUGAUGAUUUCAAGUUGUUGCUGCGGUUACAUUGUGAUUCUGCUACAACCAAUAUAGUGAUUACGACGACUUUCCGAUGCACCGGUGUUAGAGCUGACAUCAAGUUUGUUUCAAUAAUUUCCAGCCUUCAAGUUCUCGUGGGACCAGUUUGAUUGUUAUCCCGUAAGAGCUUUCGUGCCGACUUAAUACGACGGGUCAAUACGUGUGCUGUAAAUUGCAUUUAUCGAUUAUCGGUCGGGAUCCAAAGGCGUUUUGUUUGUAUUUAGUUUAGAGGCUGCAUUUUAUACUGAUAUAUACAUAUGUUCAUAAAUAUAUGCGUAUUGGUUUGCCAAUGUUUAGCAGUGCUUGGUUUCAUGUUUUUACACAGCAUAUUAUUACUGGCUCAUGAGCAUUGUGGGUAGUAAAUCGCCUCUUAAUCAAGUUGGGCAAAUUCCUGUAAUUUAUUUUCUCUCAUUCAAAACGUCGAUAUCAUUAGUACCAAUUGUCACUUUAUUUCCAGUAAUUAUCCUAACAUUGUUUGUUCUAAUUGAUAUGGAUUGGUUCACAGUAUAGUCAUCUUGUCAAUUAUGUGGUUGGUUUGAUCAUCACAAGUCAAAUUACAUUAUUGAUUGCUUGCUGAAUUUUUAUAGUGUAUAUAGAUUUAGCUUUGAUUCUAUAGCCUGUUUGUUAAUAUGUGCAUAACAUGGAGUGGUUUCUAUUUGGUUUCAAUUCCGUUGUGAUGAAAUUUGGAAUUCGGACUCAGUGUUCAGAUAA